rnacentral:lncRNA from 1 species
UUUCAUGCCCCUCUUGAAUUCCUAACACUCGAACAUAAACACAAAAAGAUGAUUCUCAAAUUUUGAACCAAACUAAUUGACAAACCAUAAAGGCAUAAACCGAUCAAAUUUAUAAUUCAUAUACCAUUGAAUUGACCAAAAACAUAUCAUAUAUAGUUAUAUACACUACUAGAAAUUUUGACCGAUACUCCAAAGUAAUAGUCAAUAAGGAUAUUAUCAAAGUAAGAAAAUUGAUGCAGUAAAAAAAGCAUAAACCUGGAAACCUCACCCUUAUUUAAUAUCCGAGCUUUUUAAAGCUCAAAUCGGAAACAAGCCUAGUUCUUCUUUGUGUUUUCACUUCAAUUUCCAAUCUUAAAGUAAAUACCCAAAAGAACUAAGUGGUACCCUUCCCAUGUAAGUAUCUCGAUCGGGAACAAACUAUAGAACAAUGAAAGAAAGAAAAAAAAAAGAAGGGAAGGCAAACGGUGGAAGAGAUAAGACUUUGAGUUAGGUGGCUUCUAGGUUUCCAAAGUACGUGAAGCUGGCAGCUAUAGAUGCUAAAUCAACCAAAAUAUGCUUAAUUAAAAAUUUAACAAGCCUAAUCUAAUCUUCAAAAUGAUUCACCCAAAUCUUAUCUUCAAUUCUCCAACCCUAGACCAGCGAAAAGGAUUUGGGAGAUUGAAAAAUACCUGCACUGAAGAAGUUGAGGCGUAGGUGAGACCGGAGUCGAACCAAGGUUCGGCCUUCUCAGCCUCACUCACCUCCUCCAUGAAAUUGAAGAAUCGACGAAGGAGAAACUGAGGUCGGCGGCACUGUGAGGUGGUCGAUGCAUGGCGCUGGUGGUGCACUCCUCCGGUGACAUUGAGUUCAGAGCAGAGGUGGUAGGAUUUGCAGUAUUUGGGCGAGAGUUCAAGAGGGUGAGGACAAGAAGAGAAAUAGUGUGCGGC